UGUGCCAUGACAUUGUACUUUAGUAUGGGGAUUUGGCCUGGUCUGCAUGUGUUUGAAAUUAAUCAGACACUCUGAUUAGCAUGGACAUCAGCUGGGAUCUAGCUAACAAGAAGACUGUGGUGUAGCAGGUCUGGGAUGAGCCUUAUAUUCCGUAGUUCUACCGACCUUCCAGGGAAAGCUGAUGCUGCCAGUCCGGGGACCACGCUUUAAAGAGCAAAGGGCUACAUCAGCGGUUCCCAACUUGUCUACACAAUAGAAUCACCUGGAGAUCUUUUAACACUUCUAAAAUCCCAGCUGCAUGUCACUGAAAUUUAGCCAUAAUUGCUGGGGACGGGCAACAGACCUCAGUCAUUUGGGAAGUUCUCUGGAGGAGCCCAAUGUGCAGACAAGUCUGGGAACAACUGGGCUUCCCCAUUGUACCCUCAGCCACCACAACUUGGACUCUGUGGCUCUCAGCUCAUCGGAGAGAGACAUCUCCUCCCAGACCACCAUUCCUUACAAGCUCACUUGCCCUCUAAGUCUCUGACCUGUGCCCUCUCCCAACUGCAUCCAGAUAAGGAAACUGAAGUACAAGGGGCCAUAGGCCAAUCUUGACCUCUGUGUACCUAAGAUGCAUCUAUAUGGACUGGACAUCAGGACGUGAGCCAGUGUUUGCUAUGAGCCCCGCCCUGGCCUCCUAAGAGAAUGGAACUGAAGGAGACAGGCAAUUAACAACCCUCAAAGAGCUGACAUUUGAGUGAUAACAGCAAAUCUACAGGACACAGCCGCUGGAGUCCAUGAAAUGUGUGUUCCCCAUUCAUCAGUAAGGGAUUCCAUGCCAAGCUGAAUCUUUCAAGUUUCCCUGGAUUCCUCUUUGCAGCCUCCAGCAUUUGUGUUUACAUCAGGUCAGAUAAUA